rnacentral:rRNA from 1 species
CGCGUAGGUGGUUUGUUAAGUUGGAUGUGAAAGCCCCGGGCUCAACCUGGGAACUGCAUCCAAAACUGGCAAGCUAGAGUACGGUAGAGGGUGGUGGAAUUUCCUGUGUAGCGGUGAAAUGCGUAGAUAUAGGAAGGAACACCAGUGGCGAAGGCGGCUCACUGGCCCGAUACUGACGCUGAGGCACGAAAGCGUGGGGAGCAAACA